AAGUAAAAUCUUUAGAAUAUUCGAGUUUUAAGAUAUUUUGACUCGUAAUUAAUUUUGCAGAUAAACUUUUUAAUAGCAAUCGUUGAAGAUUGCGUACAUUUCGAAAAUUUUUCUUUUCAAGUUGAGAAACAAUACGGUGUUGUAUUUUAAAUAAUCUAUUUUGCGCAUUUAGCCAGUUAAUUGUUUUUUGAUUUUUGUAAUUUAUGCGGAUUAAUGAUGUCAUUUUUUAGAUUAUAAAGAAUAAAUAGCCUCUUCAGGUAGGACUUGAACCUACAACCCCUCGGUUAACAGCCGUUUGCUCUACCUUUGAGCUACUGAAGAUUUUAUUUAUUUUAUAGUUUUUAUAUUUAAUAUUCAAAUAAUUUAUUAUUUAUUAUAAAACUAGUUAAUUAAUAUAAAAAAAAUAAUAAUUAUUAUUUUUUUUAUUAGGUAUAAUUUAAUACAACAACCAUAAUUUUAUUUAAAACAUAAAAAAGGUUAA
rnacentral:tRNA from 2 species